UUCGUAGGUGGCCCGCUAAGUCACACGUGAAAUCCCUCAGCUCAACUGGGGAACUGCGUGUGAGACUGGCAGGCUUGAGUGCAGGAGAGGAACGCGGAAUUCCAGGUGUAGCGGUGAAAUGCGUAGAUAUCUGGAGGAACACCGGUGGCGAAGGCGGCGUUCUGGACCGUUUCUGACACUGAACAACGAAAGCCAGGGGAGCAAACGGGAUUAGAUACCCCGGUAGUCCUGGCCCUAAACGAUGAAUGCUUGGUGUGACGGGUAUCGAUCCCUGUCGUGCCGUAGUUAACGCGUUAAGCAUUCCGCCUGGGGAGUACGGUCGCAAGGCUGAA
rnacentral:rRNA from 1 species